rnacentral:tRNA from 1 species
CGGGGCGUAGCGCAGCCUGGUUAGCGCGCCUGCUUUGGGAGCAGGAGGUCGCCGGUUCGAAUCCGGCCGCCCCGA